rnacentral:lncRNA from 1 species
CUCCAUCUUUGUUUGGUAUACUUGUUGUUGGACCCUUACCAGUAAUUAUCUCCAACACCACAACUCCAUAGCUAUAAACAUCCACUUUUGAAGUAAUUUGCAUGUUGAAAACCCAUUCAGGUGCCAUGUAACCUCUUGUCCCUCGAAUCCUCGAGAAAUUUGAAUUAUCAAGGUCAUUCCUAUUCAAUAGCUUAGACAAACCAAAAUCUGCUACCUUAGGUUGAUAAUCCGAGUCAACAAGUAUGUUUUGUGGCUUUAUAUCGCAAUGCAAAAUCCACUCCAAACACUCUUCGUGUAAAUAAGCAAGACCCUUUGCAGUUCCCAUAGCAAUGUUAUACCUUUUACCCCAAUCAAGUUCACUUGAUGAGAGAUUAUCAGCUAAAGUACCAUUUUCCAUGUACUCAUAAACCAACAAUCUGUGUUUUCCCUCGGCACAAUAACCCCACAUUCCUAUCAAAUUCAUGUGAUUAAGCCUUCCAAUGAUGCUAACUUCAACAAGAAACUCAUUCCCUCCUUGACUUGCAUCAUGCAAUCGCUUUAUCGCAGCAACUCGAUUAUCAGAUAAAACACCUUUAUAUACAGUUCCUCCAGCUCCCCUUCCGAUCUCUUCGCUAAAACCUUUUGUAGCUUGAUUUAUUUCAGAGUAACUGAAUUUCCUAAACCCUGUAACUUCCUCUAGAUCAUUCCCAUGAAUAACAACAAUAGAUUGCUUCCUAUUCUUCUUAUAUAACAUACACCCUACUAGAAAGAAGCAUAAGACCUCAAUUCCGCCCAAGCAACUCACAAACCAAAGCAUGAACUUCACUGAUCCAUUUUCUUUGGAAUUGAUGUAUGAUAUUCCUAGUUGUUUUACUCCUUUAUUUCCUAAGCAAACCAAGCUAUCAUAUUCUUCCGAAAAAACAGUAUUGUUUUUUGGCAAUCGCAGAAAGAGUGAACCUUCGAACGUUGUUGAAUGGCGUCCGUUUAAUAACUGCGUCUUUGGGUAACAAUAAGAGAAACCCUCUUCCCUCAUAUAGCAAAAUUGGAAGGCUAUGCAUUCACAUGAUCGUAAACACAAAUGCUUACACUGACUAUAGGUGUAAUUUUUAUAGGAUUCAUAGUUGUCAAACUCAACAUGGGGUAAGACUUUGAAACGAGACUUUGUCUUGUUGCAAGAAAAUUCGAAGCUUGGUUUGCAUCCUUGAGACCAGUCUUGGUUGUUGAUUAUGCUAUAACCUGGAAGACAUGAACAUUUUCUACCAGUUCUUGGAUCAUAACCGCAAGCACUAUUAGGUCCACAAAUCCCGUGUAUUUGACAAGGUUGCUGGAGGAAUUGCCCUGUUACUGACCAAUUCACUUGCCCAUGUUUUCGGCUAUAAACUCGAACAUUACCAUCAAUAUCAAGGGUCAAUCUUCUUUGUAGGACUGUUCCAUAAUCAGUUGUUUUGAAAGUGAAAUCAUCGAAAAAAUUGAAGUUUCCCAAGCGAUUUAAUGUUGCUACCCUGCUAUUAUUGUAUGAGAACGACCUAUCUGCAUCCCAAUAAACGCUUGAACUUUGCGCGCCAUCAUAGCGAAGAUAGAGAUUAUUGUUAGAAUCGAAAAAAAGCUUGUAGGAACCAGAGGAAUAGUUGUUGACACUUUUCAACGAAACAAGGUUCAUGAACUCAAUCAAUUUUUGAUCAGGAAGGAGAGUAUCUGUUGGGAAAUCAAAACUUUGCCACAAAACGAAACCAUUUAUGUCUUGUUCUCUCAGAACGAGGUUUCCUGUUUCGUACAAAAACAACUGAAGUGCUUUGGAUGAGCUAGUUUUAGUCGACCAAACGUUGGACAACCCAGCAUCGGUUAAUACUAGAUUGCCGGUAUUAAGAAGGGAAAGUGUUGAGCGUUUUCCAUUAACUGGUUGAUCACGAUUUGCCAUCCAAACAACGGUAGCGAUUUUCCAUUAAAUGGGUUACAUGCAAGGUACUAUACAAUGCUAUCAGCCAAUCACGAUGUGAAUCCCUCUAUGAUAAUGAGCAAAGGUGAUCAGCCAAUCACAACGUCAAUCCCUCUACGGGAGUUCCUCGCCAAUUUCACCUUGAACCCUUGCUUGUAAAUUUAGUAACAUUUGAACAAUUGUUAGGUAAAAUCCAUGUUACUAAAGAGCUUCAAUAACAUUUCAUAGUAUUAUUAGUAACAUUAAAAAACUGUUGUAUAUUCAUAUUUUUGUAACACUUUUCAUAGUAUACUACCAAUUGAUGAUUUAUUCAAUGAAAAUUGUUUUUAAUUUGUUGAUGUUUGAAAUUUUUUUAUUUGCUGUCAGUAAUGUAGAUGAUUGUGUUGAUCAUAUACAAGGAAUUUCUUCAGCACAAUUAGCUGAUCUACGACUAAUACGUAAACAAAACGACUUAAUUAGGUUUUGUAACUUAGUUUGGAACGCAUUUCAACAGCGCCAUAAUUCAAGACUUGGAAAUUGGAGAAAUCAAUUCUUUAAAAGCUUUGAUAAACUUUCCAAUAUUUGCUUGAAAGAAUUCAUUCAACAACAUCUAGUCAUUUCAAAGAAGUUGCAAAAGGUGGAUCCACCAAUAUGAACCUCAAUGUAUUUGUACAAGACUUGUCGUGUGUUCAAGGGCAUUGAGCACAAAGAGCUCUUGUACCUUUGUGACAAUUAGAAAAUUGGCAGAUAAAUAAGAAUUUAGAGAUUUUUCCCCUAUAAUUUAUUUUAACCUCAAAUUUACUUUUCAUGUUCAUUUUUAUACGAGUGUAUACAAAUUUAAAUCAGGUUACAUUCAAUCCAUUUUUGACUAAAAUCAAUUUUACAAAAUCAAAUUUUUUUUACAUUAGAACCAAUCGUUUCCGUAAUUAUUAAACUAAAUUAACUCUAGAGAAAGGGAAAAAAAAAAAAAAAUAAGUAAUAUCCUAAUCAUAAGUUCUUAAAUCACAUUACAUCUAGAAAAUAAUUGAAACCCAAGAAGUGAAACAGUUGAAUAAUUGUAAACAGGAGAGAUGGUUACUCAUUGUGAAUGCCAUCAAUAGUUAUGUUAAUGACUUAGGAGAGCCUCUCAACAACUUGACUCAUGGUGGGUCUAACAUCUUUAUCUUCCUGUACACAAUCCAAUGCAACAUUUGCCAAAGUUUCCAUUCUCUUUGCAUCAUAAUUUGAUCCCAAUGCAGGGUCAACAAUUUCUUCAACCCAACAAGCAACUUCUAGUACUUUUCUUCUUUUCUCCCUAACCCAUGUUACCAAUCUCUCAUGAUACAACUCUUCUUUGUCUUUGAUUUGGAUACCUGUUGUUGGACUCUUUCCUGUAAUCAUCUCCAACACCACAACUCCAUAGCUAUAAACAUCCACUUUUGAAGUGAUUUGCAUGUUGAAAACCCAUUCAGGUGCCAUGUAACCUCGUGUCCCUCGAAUCCUUGAGAAGUUUGAAUUAUCAUGCUCAUUCCUGUUCAAUAGCUUAGACAAACCAAAAUCUGCAACCUUAGGUCGAUAAUCAGAGUCAACAAGUAUGUUUUGCGGCUUUAUAUCGCAAUGCAAAAUCCACUCCAAACACUCUUCAUGUAAAUAAGCAAGACAUUUUGCAGUUCCUAUAGCAAUACCAUAUCUCUUUCCCCAAUCAAGUUCAUUUGAUGAGAGAUUAUCAGCUAAAGUACCAUUUUCCAUGUACUCAUAAACCAACAAUUUAUGUUUUCCCUCAGCACAAUAACCCCACAUUCCAAUUAAAUUCAUGUGGUUAAGCCUUCCAAUGAUGCUAACUUCUGCAAGAAACUCACUGUCUCCUUGAUUUGUGUCAUGCAAACGCUUUAUCGCAACAACUCGAUCAUCAGAUAAAAUACCUUUAUACACGGUUCCUCCAGCUCCUCUUCCAAUCUCUUGGCUAAAACCUUUUGUAGCUUUUUUUAAUUCAGAAUAGCUGAAUUUUCUAAACCCGGUUGCUGAUGCUAUAACAUACCCAUGAUUAUCAACACUAGAUUGCUUCCUAUUCUUGAAUAAGAUACACCCUACUAGAAAGAAGCAUAACACCUCAAUUCCGCCCAAGCCACUUGCAAACAUAAGCAUGAAAUUCACCAAUCCAUUUUCUUUUUCACCAACGUAUAAUCUUUGUAGUUGUUUUAUUCCAUUAUUUCUCGAACAAACCAAGUUAUCAUACUCUGGGGUUAAAACUAUAUUGUUUUUUGGCAAUUUCAAAAAGAGUGAACCUUUAAACUCUGUCGAACGAAGGCCGUUUAGUAACUGCGUCUUUGGAUAACAAUUAUUCACACCCUUUUUCUUGAUAUAGCGAAAUUGGAAGGCUAUGCAUUCACACAUUUGUAAGCAUAUAUGCUUACAUUGUUUAUAGGUGUAAUUUUUAUGGAAUCCAUAGUUAUAGCUGUUAAACUUAACACGUGGUAAGAAUUUGAAGCGAUAUUCUGUCUUGUUAUUGCAAGAAAAUUGGAAGCUUGGUUUGCACCCUUGAGACCAAUCUUGGUUAUUGAUUAUGCUAUAACCUGGAAGACACGAACAUUUUCUACCUUUUAUUGGACCAUAACUGCAAGUGCUGUUAGGUCCACAAAUUCCAUGAAUUUGACAAGGUUGUUGGACGAAUUGCCCUGACACUAACCACUUCUCUUGCCCUUGUUUUCGGCUAUAAACACGAACAUUGCCAUCAAAAUCAAGUGUAAGUCUUCGUUGUAGCACUGUUCCAUAAUCACUUGUUAUGAAAGUGAAAUUAUCUGAAGAACUGAAGUUUCCCAAACGAUUUAAUGUUGCUACCCUGUUAUGAUUGUACAUGGAUCUAGAAUCUUGCCAAUCAAGAAACAAAGGAUCUGGCCAAUAAACGCUUGAAUCUCCAGGGCCAUCAUAGAGAAGACGGAGAAGAUUAUCGUUGUCAAAGAAAAGCUUGUAGCAGCUAGAGGAAUAGUUGGUGGUGUCUCUUUUGGACGAAACAAGGUUCAUGUACCUUGUGAAACUUUGAUCGGGAAGGAGGGUAUCUGUUGGAAAAUCAAAACUUUGCCACAAAAUGAAACCAUUUGUGUUAUGUUCUCUGAGAAUGAGAUUUCCCGUAUCGUACAAAACCAACUCAAGUUGUUUGAGUGAGUAUGUGUUUGUAGACCAAACAUUAAACUGUCCUGCGUCGGUUAAAAUGAGGUUGCCGGUAUUAAGAAGGGAAAGUGUCGAGCGUUUUCCGUUUACUGGCUGUUCACGAUUUGCCAUCCAAACAACGGUAGCAUUGGUGAGGUUUUUGUGUUUUUGAGUGAACCAUAUGGCGAAUGAAUAAGCAUUUUCGCCUACAGGAUAAAAGCCCGCGGUGAAUGUGCCUUUGGGUGAGACAAUAAAAUCAUUUUCAUGUCUCUCCACUGAGAGGGAAAAUGAUAAUGAAUGUUGAAAAUGGAAAAGCAAAACGAGAAUUGUGAAGAAAAUUGGUGAAUGAAUCAUUUUAAUUGUUAUUGCUGGAUAAUCUUUUUACGAUUUGCCAUCAUAUAUAAACGUAGUACGGUAAUGAAAGAAGUACGUGAAGCGAAAUUCCUUGACUUUACCCAACCCACACGGCAUUGACAAUGUCACCCAACCUUGCAUUAAUUGGUCUGAAAUAAUUUUGUUUUUUUUUUUACAUAAGCAAAACAAUAUUCCGUCAUCAAAUUGAUAGAACACAUCAGAUACAAUAAUACGAUCAAUGUGAAUAUGUCAACAAACUUACGACACUCAAGUUAAUAGCAUACAACGCCAAAAUGCUUACAAAUAAUAUGAUAAAAUCUAAAUUAUCAUAAUACCCACGAUUCUUGAUCUGCAACGCUGACGUCAAAAUCAUUGGUUGAAUCUAUGAUUGAUCGAAGUUAAUCUUUCAAUAGGAACCAAACAGACAUCACAACAAGAUGCAAAAUCAAACGACGCCGCACAAGACAAUGAACAACACAGCGUUGCACUCAGACAGAGAAAUCAGGUAAAAACACAAGGAAAAACUUGUGGUCGGAAAUAAUUGAAAUAGGUUCUCACUUUUUAAUCAAGGUUCUCACUUUUUUGUGGAGAAACCAACUUAUAUCAUUUCAUUAAUGAAAAUGUGUUUAAUAUAAUUUGGUAUUUCAACCAAAAUCUACAAACUAGUUGGUAAUAUGAACACCUUAGCUAAAUUGUACAGGAACUUCGUUUACUUGUCUCCGCACAAACUCAACACCUUAGUUUUCAUAAAAUUGCUUAAGGAUUGUCUAACAAUUUUGGAUAGUAAUCCCAAAUUAUGUAGAGCCAUGUUUUGGAGAUAAGAAACUAUCAACCACUCUCUUCGCAUCCAACUCAAAAUCGAUGGGUCCCAGCGUAAGCUCAUAAACUCAUUUGAAGGCGGAUAAUAAACCAAGAGCAUGAAGCUUCUCACUUGAAGCAGUUUUUGUUUUCUUUUGGUUCUCAUUCUUUAGAAAAAUUUAAUGAACGAAUGAAAACUCUUAAAACUAAUUAUUUUAAAAAUGAAAAUAUUUUUAGGGAUAAAUUUCAUUAUUUAAUCUGUAUCAAUAUAUUAAAGAAAUACAUUAGUUUUAAGCAGAAUUUUUUUUCUACUUAAUUUAAACUAUGGCAUUUACAAUUUUAUCCAUUUCAUAAUAAAUUUAAAUCUUUUACUAAAAAAGUCCGUUAAAUCUAUUAAUUUAGAACAAACUCAAUACAAUGUGAACAAAAUUAGACACUAUAAAGAAGUUUUAAUUUUUUUCAAAAGAUUAUAAUCAAGUGUGAUAAAAUAAAUAUACAACUAAAUAAAAUAAAAAAGCAGACAAAUAAACACGUUAAUGUCUGUCUUUCCAGUAGUUAAUCCGUUUUUUUUUUUUUUUUAUCCUACACAAAAUGAUAAAUAAAAUGAUGUUCGUUUCCCAACCUAAAUCAGUGAACUAUUCUAUUCAAAAUUACCAAAAGAACAAAAUAUUAACUUUCAUAAUGCAUCGACGAUCUUCUAGUUAUGUACGGAUAAACUUAUACUAUAUUGCUUAGAUAUAUAAAUACUCCUCUAACUCUGACUGAAUCUCAUAGAUCUUGACUUGGGAGAUUUGUAUAGAACUUUGCAUAGGAUAUACCACUUUACCAUGAGACCUAAUAACUUUGUAAAUUUCUUUUCUUAGUUUAAGCACUUUUUGCGCCCCUUUAAAAUGACCAUUUUACACCUUCAUAUUUAAUAAUCCGAAAUGCAUUUGACAUUUCUCAGAUUAUAAAAUCUGAAUUGUGUUUACAUGGUUUUAAUGGUAUAAUUUAAAUUGACAUAACAUAAAAUCGACAAUGAAAUUUAAUAAUUCAACACAUUUUAUUAAUUGAAAAGGAUUUUAUAAUACAAAAUGUUUGACAUCAAAAGCUAAAUUUGUAAUACAAGAAGAUGGAGGGAGAAGGAGGGAAGGUUCACCAUCCCUCUCACGCCUUCCAAAGAAUUCGUGAGCACCAAAUGAUGGAGAAGGCGAAGGUGGAAACCAAUCUAUACAAUUUUUUAGGAUUAGCUAUAAGAUUAUAUAAUUUGAACCAGUCAAACACAAGAUUUUGAUAUGGUCCACAUUGCACCAACAAUUUUUAUGAUUCACAACGUAUAUAUUCUUAUAAUGAUUUGAAGAAUAAUUCUUAUUAUUUUAGGGUUUUUAAAGACAUUUAUUGAAAUGUAAGGAUUAUUUUUCAAAGUCACGCAAAAUGUAGGGAGCAAAAAUUAAUUUAACCUUAAAAUAAUUGGGACCCGCUAACUGGCACAUCAGCAUUCCGUUAGAGAAUUAACAGCAAUGACUAAUUUUGAUAACAGAGAUAAAAUGUGAGGAUUUUAAAAACAAUGAAAUGUAAAGACUAUUCUUCAAAGGGGCGCAAAACGUAAGGACUUAAAACAUAUUUAACCCUAUUUUAAUUUUUGAUUUUUUUACAAGAUUCAUAUUAUAUAAUUCAAACAAAAAAAUUUGAGAAUUUUGGACAACGUGUAAGAAGUUAGCAUUGGGGGAAAAUAGAAAAAACUCUACCCUAUGUCGAAAUGUAGUAGUAAUGUAAAAGGUUGGGUGACCCAAGGUCAAUACAAAUUAUGGUCAAGCCGUGGGAAUUGGGAGAAGGAGCUAAAAGUAAAGUCAGGGAAAUUUCACUUCACCUACUUCUUUCAUUAUCAUACUAUGUUUAGUAACCCAAAGUGAAUAUUUUAAUAAGAGAGAAAGGGAGAAUGGUAGAUAGCAACACUUCAACUAUUAAUUUGACAGCUCCUUCAAAAAAAAAAACUAUUAAUUUGACAGUUGUAAUUGGAUCAUUUUAAGUUAUUUACCUUAUUUUCCUUAUUUGUCCUUGGACCCUUUUUAAAGAUUUUAGAUUAAGAAAUUAUUGUUAAACGUUUUAUAUCCGACAAAAUGUGUGAUACGAACAUAAGUUUACAAGUGAGAAUAAUUCUCACUUCACAAGUCGAUUGUAUUAGGUCCAACCACGAUUUUUAAGAUAUAUUUAAAAAAAAUCAAAGAUUACAACUUUCAUUACAUUAAAUACACAAUUUUUUAUAAAAAUUUAUCUUUAAGUUCUUUUAACAAUGCUCUGGAGGCACUCGUUAACAUUUAAAAAAAAAUCAUUAUUAGCAUGCUUGUUCCAUUUAAAAAUAAUAAAAAACAUUGACAUGGAUUGUUUCUAAAAAAAGAAAUCUAAACUGAAUGAAAUUAAGAAGUUGUUUUAGGUUAAUAUUCCAUCAAAGUCUCGUAUAUAACUAAAGAUUUUUUAUUUUAAAUUAUUUGAAUUAUAAUAUUUAAAGUGGUUCUAAGAGAAGUGGUUAGCGUUAUUUUAGUUUAUUCUUUGUUCUUAAUUUCAAUAUUUCAUAAAAAGUGAAGUUGUUGAUGUAAAAAACAAAAAAUGGGAUCAGUGCCAGGUUUGUUUUUUAGCGUGGGACCAAAACAAUGUAUAUAAUCAAGAAUUCUAUCAAAGUUACAAACAAACAAAAACUAAACUGAUAACUAAUCUUAAUGGAAUCUUUACAUAAAAAAUUGAAAAUAAAAAAAGUGGUCCAAUUAGAAGUAGAACUGUCAAAUUAAUAAUUGAAGUGUUGCUAUCUACCACUAUCCCUUUCUCUCUUAUUGAAUCUUCAUUUGAAUUUAAACUUUGAGCAACAUCAAUACCAAAGUUGAAGUACUUGAUGCAACAUCUAUAAGUAAAUCUAGUUGUUCAUGUUGGACUUUUAUUUUGGCAUUCAAUCAUGCAAAGCAUAUAAAAGGAAUUUCCUCAGCACAAUUAAAAUGAUGACUUGAGGUUUAUGCGACGUGGUUUAGAAUGGACUUCAAGAUUUGGAAGCUGAAGAAAUAAAUCUUUGAAAACUUUGUUGAACUAUCCAAUUCAUUCCUAGGUAGUUUCCUUUCAGUGUCUAAUUCCCAAAUGAUUGAAAUUGUUCAAGCAUUAAACACCAGUGGAAUUCAACUAUGGAAAUAGCUUUAUCUAGUGUUCCAAUGCUUACAUUCACUUUAUUCUUGGACUAAGUCCGAAUAGUAGAAAAAAAUUGGAUGUGGGGAAAAAUGGGUUGGCGUUAAAAUGGUGAGUUAAAAGUGAGGAAUUGAUCACACAAGAACAAAUACUGGAAAUUUACGGAUCAUGGAAGUGGAUCCUCCUAUAGGAACCUUGAUGUAUUUUAGAAGACAUUUCGUGUGUUCAAUGUGACGUUUUAGAAAUCGAACAUCAAACCAGUGAGACUUUCAACUUAUAGUUGGAUAAAAUUGUGAUCGAACCACUCAAUGACUCAAAUAACUAAAUUUUAGACAAUGACAAUUUAAGGUUUAACCGACUGAACCAUCUGAUUUGAUUUUAAAUAAUUGUUCCGAGGUCAUUGGACACACGGACCUUAUUUCUUAUUCGAUUUUCAAUAAUUUUUCGAGGCCAUUGGAGACACGAGUCUUGUUUCUUCGUGACAUGUAUAAAACAGGAAGAUAAAAGAGGUGAUAUGAUACGUAUAUUAAUUUUAUUUGAGAUUGAGCUUAAAACAGGCAUACAAGCAACAUAAAUGUGAAAACUAUGAUCACAUUCUAAACACUUAGUUAUUUAAAUGUUACCUCCAAAAUUGUGAUAACAACCUCCAUGAAUCUAAUUACAUCUAGAAAAUAAUGGAUAGCCUUAAUUAUGCUCAUCCCUUAAUAGCCUCUCAACAACUUGACUCAUGGUGGGUCUAACAUCUUUCUCUUCCUUUACACAAUCCAAAGCAACAUCUGCCAAAGUCUCCAUCUUCUUUACAUCAUAAUUUGAUCCCAAUUUAGGGUCAACAAUUUGCUCAACCCAACAACCAACUUCUAAUCCUUUUCUUCUUUUCUCCCUAACCCAUGUUACCAACCUCUCAUGACACAACUCUUCUUUGUCUUUGAUUUGGAUACCUGUUGUUGGACUCUUUCCGGUAAUCAUCUCCAACACAACGACUCCAUAGCUAUAAACAUCCACUUUUGAAGUGAUUUCCAUGUUGAAAACCCACUCAGGUGCCAUGUAACCUCUUGUCCCUCGAAUCCUCGAGAAUUUUGAAUGAUCAAAGUCGUCCCUAUUUAAUAGCUUGGACAAACCAAAAUCCGCUACCUUCGGUUGGUAAUCAGAGUCAACAAGUAUGUUUUGCGGCUUUAUAUCACAAUGCAAAAUCCACUCCAAACAUUCUUCGUGUAAAUAAGCAAGGCCCUUUGCAGUUCCCAUAGCAAUGUUAUACCUUUUACUCCAAUCAAGUUUAUUUGAUGAAAGAUUAUCGGCUAAAGUACCGUUUUCCAUGCACUCGUAAACCAACAAUCUAUGUUUUCCCUCAGCACAAUAGCCCCACAUACCAAUUAAGUUCAUGUGGUUAAGCCUUCCAAUGAUGCUUACUUCAGCAAGAAACUCACUCUCACUCUCUCCUUGAUUCGCUUCAUGCAAACGCUUUAUCGCAGCAACUCGAUUAUCAGAUAAAACACCCUUAUACACAGUUCCACAAGCACCCUUUCCAAUCUCUUGACUGAAAUUCUUUGUUGCAUGUUUUAGUUCAGAGUAGGUGAAUUUCGUAAAUCCUGUUGCUGCUGCUGCAAGAACAUAGUUGUGAUUUCCUUCACUAGAAUGCUUCCUGUUCUUUAAUAAGAAACACCAUACCAUAAAGAAGCAGAAGAACUCAAUUCCUCCCAAGCCACUUGCAAACCAAAGCAUGAACUUCACUGAUCGAUUGUCUUUGCCUUUGACAUAUAAUCUUACUAGUUGUUUUGGUGCAUUUUGUGAACAAACCAAGCUAUCAUCCUUGACAAUGUUCUCGUGGGAAAAAUCAAUAUUGUUUUUCGGCAAUAGCAAGAAAAUUGAUUUUUGGAAAUGUGGUGAAUGAAACCCAUUUAAAAACUUUGUCUUUGGGUGACAACUAUAAGUACCACUUUGCUUCCGAUAUGUGUAUUCAAAUCCGAUACACUCACACAGUCGCAUGCACAAAUGCUUACAUUGUUUAUAGGUAUAAUUUGCGUAAGUACCAUAAUCAUAUCCAUAAAAUUUGACAUGGGGUAAGUGUUGGAAGCGAGUAUUUGAACUUGUCUUGUUGUCACAUGAAAGUUGGAAGCUUGGUUUGCACCCUUGGAACCAGUCUUGAUUAUCGAUCCUGAUAUAACCUGGAAGGCACGAACACUUUCUACCACUACGGAAAUUAUAACUGCAAACGCCAUUGGGUCCACAAAUCCCCUGAAUAUUACAAGAACCUAUACGAAAUUGCGCUGAUACCGACCACUUCUCUUGUCCAUGUUUUCGGCUAUAAACACGAACGUUACCAUCAUGAUCAAGGGACAACCUUCGUUGGAGUAGUGUCCCAUAGUCACUAGUUGUUAUAGUGAAGUUAUCAGAAGAGCUGAAUUCCCCUAAAGGACUUAGUAUUGCAACCUUGCUACUGUUGUAGGUGGAUCUACCAGAUUGCCAACUGAGGAGCCAUGGAACUGGCCAGUAAACUCUUGAAACUUGAGGUCCAUCGUAGAUAAGACAGAGAAGAUUGUCGUAGUUGAAUAAAAGCUUGUAGAAGCCAGAUGAAUAGUCAUUCUUGCUUUUUGAGGAAAUGAGUUGCAUGUACCUUGUGAAACUUUGAUCAGGAAGGAGAGUAUCUGUUGGGGAAUCAAAACUCUGCCACAAGAAAUUGGAAACAAUAGUGUUGUGUUCUCGAAGAAUGAGAUUUCCUGUGUCGCACAAAAACAACUCAAGUUUUUUGGAUGAGUUAGUGUUUGUGGACCAAACGUUGAACUGUCCUGCGUCGGUUAAAAUGAGGUUGCCAGUUUUGAGAAGGGAAAGUGUUGAGCGUUUUCCGUUAACAGGUUGGUCACGAUUAGCCAUCCAAACAACGGUAGGAUUGGAAAGGUUUUUGUGUUUUUGAGUGAACCAUAUGGCGAAUGAAUAAGCAUUUUCACCUACGGGAUAAAAACCCGCGGUGAAUGUGCCUUUGGGUGAGACUAUAAUGUCAUUUUCAUGUCUCUCCACUGAGAGGGAAAAUGAUAAUGAAUGUUGAAAAUGGAAGAGCAAAAUGAAAAUUGUAAAGAAGAUUGGUGAAUGAAUCAUUAGAAUCAUGAUAUGUUAUUGCUGGAUUGUUUUGUUAUUCACUGUCAUCAUAUAUAUAUACACACAUGGUAUGGUAAUCAAAAAGGCAUGUGAACAAAAACAGGGGUAACUUCCUUAAAAUAAAAUAAAAACAUGGGUAACUUUUUGGUCUUCGUUCCUUCUCCCACGGCAUGAUCAUAAUUCUUCAUUUUACCCAAUUAAGUCACCCAACCUUUUUACUAGGAAACCAAACAAUGUCGUAGAAAUUAUCAAAGACAUUAGUGAGAUGAAACGAUUCGAUGAAUGAAUUAUGAGAUACAAUGAUUGUCCUUGUAUACACAUGUGGACGUGCCAACUUUAUACCAGUGUACUUUUUUUUUUUCCUAGAUAUCGUGCGCGUAACUGUAUAGAUUAAUUCAUCGAGUUAGAUAAGACCACAUUGAAUGUCAAAACUCUCACUCAAGAGAUUUAACAUUUAUGCAUACCCUGAGCUAGAUCUGAACAUUUGUUCUCCUUGUCAGAAUUUGGACCCUGAACCUCAAACUCUUUAACAUUUAACUCAAAACAGUUGAACUACACAAACGUUCUUAUAUAUGACACUCAAUGGCGUAGCCAAGACCUCAGGUCAGGAGGUGCAAUUUAAAAAAAAAUAAUAUGAUCAUUAUUGUUCUUUUUUUUUUAUAAAAGAGGGCCAAAGACCCAAUGGAAAAAAAAAAAAAAAAAAAACUCAAGUUUGCUAGCCAGUCAGCAUAUUUGUUGCCUUCACGCCACAUGUGAAUAACUUCAGUAUGUCAAUCCCGUCGAAGAAGCUCUUGAAUACGUCUUAUCAAGGAAGGAAUGGCUCCAUUGAAAAAGUGCAUCCAAACCUUCAAUAUAUGCUAACAGGACUAUCCCAUUUCAUUGUGAAAUCUGCUUAACUUGCCCUCCCUUUCUUCAAGCUCCUCAGAAAAGAGGCAGCCUUCAAGUGGAUCUAUGAAUGUGAAGUUGGUCUCACACAUGUCAAACAUUCGUUAUCAAGACCUCAUGUGCUCUCAAGAUCCGAACAAGGUGAAACCCUACUUAUAUCUUUCUGUUGCUGCUGAAGCUGUUAGUGCAACACUUGUUAGAGAAAUUAAAGAUGAUCAAAGAUAGUUUACUUUAUGAGAAAGCUCUCCAAGGGCUGGAAAUCAAGCAUCAAAAGAUCGAAAAACAUCGCGCUUAUAAUAGUGAUCGGAGGAAGUACAUACUAUAUAUGAAAUUAUUGUCAUUAAAGAAAAACUUUAUAGUAUGAAAAUAAUAUUUUCCGCAUAAUUUUUUCCAUGCUAUUUCGUUGAGAAAAUAUGUCCCGGGUCAUUUUCUUUACUGCUAUUUUCUUUGGGAAAUAAUAUUUUUGGGGUCGUUUUCCCUGCUAUUUCAUUUGCACUUUUCUUCUUACUUUAAUGGUUGGUAUCUCGGAUAAUAUUUUCAAACAUACAAAUUCUUUGUAGUUGGUCCAAAGUGCAUUUAAUUUUUAAAUUGUUGGAUCUUGACGGUGCGUAGCUGCGAUAAUAGCAAGAUUCUAAAGUGCAACAAUUAAGAAUUGAGAUACUGUAAAAAAGAAUAGAGAUUGUAUGUCCGAGAAAAUCUUAUCUUUGACUGUAAUAUAAUUUGAGCAUUAAAUUAAUAGGGUUUUUCUAACUUGUGCAAAGAUUGCACAGUUAAGCUCCAAUAAAUGCACUAUUUUUUUUGUUUUUCUAAAUCUUAUUAAUUAGUCUUUCUUUUGAAAAUUGAUUUUUUUUCAUCUCUCUUCUAUUAACUGCUAUAAUUUCGGUGCACUGAGAAAUAUAGAGAAAGUUAAAAUUCAAAUUCCACAAACACAUUAAACUGAACAUUUUAUUCUUUUGUCACGCGACUUUUUCCUUCAACUUUGAAAAAGUCUGUUAAGAUAUGGCAAAUCGAAAGGAACCAGACCAUUUGUACUCGUAUGAUUGUUAUACCACACUAAGUUAAUACCUUAAUUUGCUUUCACAUAUUUUUUUUGCUUUCACGUUUUUUUUUUUUAUUUCUUCAUUUGUUCUUAUUUGUUUUGUCAAUUACUUUCAUAUUUUUUUCGUUCUUUCAAAAGGAACCAAACCAUUUGAAAAUAGGGUAACAGACCAAAAGAAAAUCUUACUUCUUCUUUCAAAUUAAUAUAUUUGUUCUCAUUAUUAAGUCUGCAGGUGAGUAGUUAGCCAAAGAGUGGGAGGCUAUAGUUGUUUUUUUGGUUCACAUCACGAUAUAAAAGAAUGGUUUCAUGUUGUUACAGUUGUCUUUCACAAUAAAAAUAAAUAAAAUAAGUCACAAAGUGGUUUUAACGUAGAAAGCACCCGUAGGUAAGUACUCCCUCCGUUCCUUUAUAAUUGUCACUUUUGCAUACAAAAUUUGUUUUCAAUUAACUGUCGUUUUCAAAGUCCAAUGUAUCAUUAAAUGUGGUUUUACCUAUAUUACCCUUAUAUAUUUAUUGCUGAGAGAGAAAUAUAUGGAAUGAAGUAUUAAAUUAUUAAGGUUAUUAUAGAAAAAAGAUAAAUUGUUGUAUCAAAAGUAGUAAAAGCAUUUGUUGUCUUGAUUUGUGUAAAAAGUCAAAAUGUGACAAUUAAAAAGGGACAGAGGGAGUAUGAGAGAGGGUUUCAGAAAAAAAAGGAGAGAGAGAAAGAAAAGUCUAAUUAAUUGGCUAAUUAAUAGGAUUUAGAAAAAUAUAAAAAGUAGUGCAUUUAUUGGAGCUUAAGCUGUGCAAUCUUAUACAAGUUAGAAAAACCCAAAUUAAUAUAGGAUAAAAGGAGGGGUGACUCUAACCAUGGGCAGGAGGGGCGGCAAUCUAAGACAUAAUAUAUUCAUACAUUACAAUAACAAUAUUUAUACAUAGUAAAUCCAUACAUUUGAUUUCUAAACAAAUAAAAAAGUUAAUUACAAAGUUAUUUGAUUAAGCAAAAACAUGAAUAUUGUUCAUCACAUUUAAUAAAAACUAAGUUUCUUGAUGCAACACAAACAUAACUAAAAUUCAUAACAUUUAAGAAAAACAAAGUUUCUUGCUUAAAAAAACAUAAUAAAGUUUAUCAUAUUCGACAAAAUAAAACUUCUUGAUUCAACAAAUUCACGGUGAUAAAUGUAAUUUACUAGUGGGUAAAGGUAUUUGUGGAUGCGGAUCAAUCAAAUAUGAAUCCAUUAAAUAGCAAGUAGUUGAAAUAUCCAUUUAUUUUAUCCAUUGAUAUCCAUUAAGGUAUCCACUUUGAGUCCGUGACAGAUUUUAUCCGUAGAUACAUGAGUGCGGAUUUUGUGAUCCCUAACUAUGACACAUAGUUAUUAACCUAUUUAUUUUUUUAAUAAUUAUUAUUUAUGCUUAAUUUUUAAAUAUAUGAUUAUAAUAUUUAAAGUGGUUUCAGAGAAGUGGUUAGCAUUAUUUUAGUUUAUUCUUUGUUCUUGAUUUUAAUAUUUCAUAAAAUUGAAGUUGUUUAUGUAACAUACAAAAAAUGGGAUCAGUGCCGGGUUUGUUUUUUUCCUUGGGACCAAAACAAUAUAUAUACUCAUUUAAGAAUUCUAUCAAAGUUACAAACAAACAAAAAAUAAAGUGAUAACUAAUCUUAAUGGAAUCUUUACAUAAAAAAUUGAAAAUAAAAAUAGUGGUCCAAUUACAACAGUCAAAUUAAUAAUUUAAGUGUUGCUAUCUACAAUUAUCCCUUUCUCUCUUAUUGAAUCUUAACUUUGGACUCACACUUUGACCAACAUCUAUAAGUAAAUCUAAGUAUUAUUCCUAGUUGCUCAUGUUGGACUUUAAUUUUGACAUUCAAUCAUAGAAAGCAUAUAAAAGGAAUUACUUCAGCACAAUUAGCUGAUCUAGGAAUAAAUAAUGCUUAAUCAAAAUGAUUUGAGGUUUUUAUGCAACGUGGUUUGGAAUGCACUUCAAGAGUUGGAAGCUGAAGAAAUCAAUUCUUUGAAAACUUUGUUAAACUAACCAAUUUAUCCCAUUGCAUUUGCUUAUUUCAAACAUGAAACAAUUCAUUCAUUAAUAUAUCUACUGAUGAUAGUAGACUUGACUAUCAGUGUUGUACAUUUCUCUAGCUUAGUUUCCUUUCAGGGAAAUGGCUCAACAGCUUGAGGGUAUCUGUGACAUAGCAGUUGCAAAAGGUGGAUCCUCCUAUAUGAACCUCAAUGUAUUUUAGAAGACUUUUUGUGUGAUCAAUGCAAUUUAAAAACCGAACCAUACAUCGAACCAGCGAGACUUUAUGGUUAUAGAAUUAUAGUUAGACAAAACUGUGAUCGAACCACUCAAAUAACCAAAUUUUAGACACUGCCAGUUUAAGGUUUAACCGAUUGAACCGUCUUAUUCGAUUUUGAAAUAUUGUUUCAAGGUCAUUGGAUACAUGGAGCUUGUUUCUUCGUGACAAGUAUAGAACAGGCAUAUAAGCAACAGAAAUGUGAAAACUAUGAUCACAUUCUAAACACUAAUUAUUUAAAUGUUACCUCCAAAAUUGUGAUAACAUCCUCCUUGAAUCAAAUUACAUGUAGAAAAUAAUGGAAACAGAAGUAUUAAAUGUGUACACUAUCAAUAAUCAUGGUCAUCCCUUAAUAGCCUCUCAACAACUUGACUCAUGGUAGGUCUAACAUCUUUAUCUUCUUGUACACAAUCCAAAGCAACAUUUGCCAAUGUCUCCAUCUUCUUUACAUCAUAAUUUGAUCCCAAUUUUGGGUCUACAAUUUGUGCCACCCAACAACCAACUUCUACUCCUUUUCUUCUUUUUUCCCUAACCCAUGUUACCAACCUCUCAUGACACAACUCUUCUUUGUCUUUGAUUUGGAUACCUGUUGUUGGACUCUUUCCGGUAAUCAUCUCCAACACAACGACUCCAUAGCUAUAAACGUCCACUUUAGAAGUGAUUUGCAUGUUGAAAACCCAUUCAGGUGCCAUGUAACCUCUUGUCCCUCGAAUCCUCGAGAAAUUUGAAUUAUCAAGGUCAUCCCUAUUCAAUAGCUUGGACAGACCAAAAUCAGCUACCUUCGGUUGGUAAUCGGAGUCAACAAG